rnacentral:rRNA from 1 species
UACGUAGGGUGCAAGCGUUGUCCGGAAUUAUUGGGCGUAAAGAGCUCGUAGGCGGUCUGUCGCGUCUGCUGUGAAAACUCAGGGCUUAACCCUGAGCUUGCAGUGGGUACGGGCAGACUAGAGUGCGGUAGGGGAGACUGGAAUUCCUGGUGUAGCGGUGAAAUGCGCAGAUAUCAGGAGGAACACCGGUGGCGAAGGCGGGUCUCUGGGCCGUAACUGACGCUGGAGGAGCGGAAAGCAUGGGGAGC